AUCAGAACAGAUCUCUAUCGCCCCCCCCCCCCCCAUCGACGGAAAAACACGCCAACGAGCUAACAGUGACUGAAAACACAGUGGGAGAAGCAGAAAAAAUGAAUCAUAAAGACGGGACUGAUCCUUGGUUUUCUCGAAGGCCGCAAGCGCCCCCUUGAGAUGCAGUAGAGUACAAUCAACUCAUUUCCGCAGGACCGACUGCCACUACUAGAGCAGUACACGUACAUAGCUACGAUGCAUGAUCAGAAAAAUGACAGUUGACAUGUUUGUGGGCUUGAAAAUGGCAUUCUACUUAUGUACUACAAUGUUAUUGUUCGCAUGUUCUUAUGACAUAACCACACAGACAGAGAUACUGUGGCAAGUUGCAACACAUGGGCUAUCGGCGACAGAUAUACGGGAUGCCAGCUUCAAGUAGCAAAUGUGGCAAAUCAAGGAGCUUCAACUACAAUCAACAACGUUGCAUGAACAUCUAUUGCGGGAACCUCAGAGCACACGGAAAGGGCGUUCCACGAACAAGUCACCGAUGUUGCCACAAACAAUGCAAAAACAGUGUCAGAAACUGGCAACCGUUGGAGCAAUGACGACAAGCACGCCUGUGCACGCCAGCACAAGCAACACUCGAGCACAUGAAACAGCCGCCAAUACUGAAGUGAAUGAUGAAACUGAUGACGAAACGCAAGGGGGAGAAGAAAAUGGACAAUCGGAAAUUGUGCCACCUCAACCACCAUAUGCUGGGCAGAGAUUUGGUUCGUUUGAAGAUGCCAAGGAAUACUACCAGAGAUAUGCAUUGUUCCAUGGAUUUGCGGUGAACACAAAAUGCCAUAGGAAAAUAAAAAAACUAACGAGUGCAGUAGAGGUGAGAUAAGGUGCUACAAGGCACGAAAGAACAAGAAGGGUAAAGGUGUUGUGCCUGUCAUGCCUGAACGAAAGAGAGGCAUCAUUCUCAAGACGGAAUGCCCUGU